rnacentral:snoRNA from 1 species
UAACAGUGAUGUGGGCAAUCUCUGGGUAGCUUUUUACAUCUCUCGCAGGCUUGACGUAGAGUCUCGCCAUCUUUUUGUUGAAACCCUAUAAUUUGGCUUCUCGGUGA